GUCCACGCCGUAAACUAUGGGUGCUAGCCGUUGGGAAGCUUGCUUUUCAGUGGCGCAGCUAACGCAUUAAGCACCCCGCCUGGGGAGUACGGUCGCAAGAUUAAAACUCAAAGGAAUUGACGGGGGCCCCGCACAAGCGGUGGAGCAUGUGGUUUAAUUCGAAGCAACGCGCAGAACCUUACCUACCCUUGACAUGUCUAGUAUGGGCACCGGAGACGGAGUCCUUCAGUUCGGCUGGCUAGAACACAGGUGCUGCAUGGCUGUCGU
rnacentral:rRNA from 1 species